UUCAUCCUCCUCAUCUUCGUCCUUGCCUUCUGCUUGUACCGCAGGAAGAAGAGGGGAGGGGAGCA
ensembl:miRNA gga-mir-12243 gga-mir-12243